AGCAUUAUACCGUGAAACUGCGAAUGGCUCAUUAAAUCAGUUAUCGUUUAUUUGAUAGUACCUUACUACUUGGAUAACCGUGGUAAUUCUAGAGCUAAUACAUGCUGAAAACCCCGACUUCGGAAGGGGUGUAUUUAUUAGAUAAAAAACCAAUGCCCUUCGGGGCUCCUUGGUGAUUCAUAAUAACUUCUCAGAUCGCAUGGCCUUGCGCCGGCGACGGUUCAUUCAAAUUUCUGCCCUAUCAACUUUCGAUGGUAAGGUAUUGGCUUACCAUGGUUUCAACGGGUAACGGGGAAUUAGGGUUCGAUUCCGGAGAGGGAGCCUGAGAAACGGCUACCACAUCCAAGGAAGGCAGCAGGCGCGCAAAUUACCCAAUCCCGACACGGGGAGGUAGUGACAAUAAAUACUGAUACAGGGCUCUUUUGGGUCUUGUAAUUGGAAUGAGUACAAUUUAAACCUCUUAACGAGGAACAAUUGGAGGGCAAGUCUGGUGCCAGCAGCCGCGGUAAUUCCAGCUCCAAUAGCGUAUAUUAAAGUUGUUGCAGUUAAAAAGCUCGUAGUUGAACCUUUGGCCUGGCUGGCAGGUCCGCCUCACCGCGUGCACUUGUCCGGCCGGGCCUUCUUUUCUGGAGAACCGCAUGCCCUUCACUGGGUGUGUUGGGGACCAGGACUUUUACUUUGAAAAAAUUAGAGUGUUCAAAGCAGGCCUUUGCUCGAAUACGUUAGCAUGGAAUAAUAGAAUAGGACGUGCGGUCCUAUUUUGUUGGUUUCUAGGACCGCCGUAAUGAUUAAUAGGGACAGUCGGGGGCAUCAGUAUUCAAUUGUCAGAGGUGAAAUUCUUGGAUUUAUUGAAGACUAACUACUGCGAAAGCAUUUGCCAAGGAUGUUUUCAUUAAUCAGUGAACGAAAGUUAGGGGAUCGAAGACGAUCAGAUACCGUCGUAGUCUUAACCAUAAACUAUGCCGACUAGGGAUCGGGCGGUGUUAUUAUUUUGACUCGCUCGGCACCUUACGAGAAAUCAAAGUGUU
rnacentral:rRNA from 1 species